GGUCCGCUGGCUCAAUGGCAGAGCGUCUGACUACGACUAAGUAAAUCAGGAGGUUCCAGGUUCGACCCCUGGGUGGAUCG